AUUGGACGCUGGCGGCAUGCCUUACACAUGCAAGUCGAACGGCAGCACGGGAGCAAUCCUGGUGGCGAGUGGCGAACGGGUGAGUAAUGUAUCGGAACGUGCCCAGUCGUGGGGGAUCACGUAGCGAAAGCUACGCUAAUACCGCAUACGAUCUAUGGAUGAAAGCGGGGGAUCGCAAGACCUCGCGCGAUUGGAGCGGCCGAUAUCAGAUUAGGUAGUUGGUGGGGUAAAGGCUCACCAAGCCGACGAUCUGUAGCUGGUCUGAGAGGACGACCAGCCACACUGGGACUGAGACACGGCCCAGGCUCCUACGGGAGGCAGCAGUGGGGAAUUUUGGACAAUGGGCGCAAGCCUGAUCCAGCAAUGCCGCGUGCAGGAUGAAGGCCUUCGGGCUGUAAACUGCUUUUGUACGGAACGAAACGGCGAGCUCUAAUACAGUUUGCUAAUGACGGUACCGUAAGAAUAAGCACCGGCUAACUACGUGCCAGCCGCCGCGGUAA
rnacentral:rRNA from 1 species